UCUGUAAUUAGGACUAACUUCUACACUGGGUUGGAUGCUUAUUCAGAGAACUGGCUUCAUCUACUGUCUUUCCAUAAUUUUAGGGAACAAGCUGUCAACUCAGCUUAAAUCGUUGUGAUAAAGCCUUUCUUAACCCUAGCUGAUGGUUCAGAGUACAUGGACCUUUAUUACUGAGACAGGAAAUUAUCAGAGUUUGAACCAUCUAAUGCCUAAGGUUACUCAUGCUAAGAAACAGUGGAGGGAACUCCCCAGUGUUUGUUCUCGG
rnacentral:lncRNA from 1 species